rnacentral:rRNA from 1 species
CCGGAGAAUGUUAUCACGGGAGACACACGGCGGGUGCUAACGUCCGUCGUGAAGAGGGAAACAACCCAGACCGCCAGCUAAGGUCCCAAAGUCAUGGUUAAGUGGGAAACGAUGUGGGAAGGCCCAGACAGCCAGGAUGUUGGCUUAGAAGCAGCCAUCAUUUAAAGAAAGCGUAAUAGCUCACUGGUCGAGUCGGCCUGCGCGGAAGAUGUAACGGGGCUAAACCAUGCACCGAAGCUGCGGCAGCGAACGUAUCACUUAAAGCGAUUCAGCGGGUUACGAUURACGGAGCGAAGCGACGUCAAAGCGUAUACAAAGUCGAGUCGGUUUAAGGAUACGUUCGUUGGGUAGGGGAGCGUUCUGUAAGCCUGYGAAGGUGGCCUGUGAGGGUUGCUGGAGGUAUCAGAAGUGCGAAUGCUGACAUAAGUAACGAUAAAGCGGGUGAAAAGCCCGCUCGCCGGAAGACCAAGGGUUCCUGUCCAACGUUAAUCGGGGCAGGGUGAGUCGACCCCUAAGGCGAGGCCGAAAGGCGUAGUCGAUGGGAAACGGGUUAAUAUUCCCGUACUUGGUGUUACUGCGAAGGGGGGACGGAGAAGGCUAUGUUGGCCGGGCGACGGUUGUCCCGGUUUAAGCGUGUAGGUGUGUGUUCCAGGUAAAUCCGGUUCACUUUAACACUGAGGCGUGA